GUAGGUCUGAUACCUGGAGGUUUUUAUUGUCUAUAUUAUGACCUGUUAAUGAUUAAAAAUGAAUUUUUAAAACUUCUUAAAAGUAUAUUUCUGAUAAGCAUUAUAGAGCUCAGUCUUGUUAUUUUGGGGGUGUUUUUUGUUUUUGUUUUUGUUUUGAACCAAACUGACAUGAUCUGCAUGUGUUCGUUGCUAUACAAUGGUUACUACUAUUUGUGGUGCUCAGGCUGAAGCUAACAUCUAUAAGGUAAGUCCUCUACCACUGAGCUAUAUCUCCAGCUGGAAUACAAUUCAUAUUUCUUGGAGAUUUCAGUCUCAGAGCAUCUUUGCUUUUUACCCUAGAACGUUCCUCAAUUUUUUUUUUACUUCAGUAUUGAGUUUUUAAAGAUUCAUUUAUUUUAUAUAUAUGAGUACACUGUAGCUAUCUUCAGACACACCAGAUUGCAUUACGGAUGGUUGUGAGCCACCAUGUGGUUGUUGGGAAUUGAACUCAGGACCUCUGGAAGAGCAGUUAGUGCUCUUAACCACUGAGCCAUUUCUCCAGCCCCAGUACUGAGUUUUUAAACUCUUUACAUUCACCUCCAUCUGUCAUAAUUUUAUUGAAUAUAGAAUUUGUCAACAUUUUUUUUUCACUUCAGCCCUUUCUAAAAUUACUGGGUGUGACUAGUGGCGAGCAUGCGUGCUAUGCAUCUUUCCACUGUGUGUCCAGGAGAUCAAGUUCAGAUUGACAGGCUUGCUUGGCUAGUGCCCCUACCUGCUUUGCCAUCCUGCAUCUCCUCCAUCAGUCAUGGAAGGUCUGUCAGCAUCUCUGUAGAAGACUCCAUAUCUUUAUUCGGCUUCAUGAAUCUAACUGUCCCACAGAUGAUGCUAUGGUCUUUCUUGUCCUCACAUUUGGUUUUCCCUAUGUGUAAGUUUCAGCCUGGAAACUUGUUUUGACUUAGGCUCAAAUUUUCUAUUUCUUUCUUCAGCUAAUUUUACUAUACUACUAAGUCUUUCAAAUAAAAUCUCUCUAGCAAUUCCAUGUGGGUUUUGUUUGGUUUUUGUUGUUGUUGUUUGUUUUGGGGUUUGGUGUUAGUGUUGUUGUUGUUUUGGUGGUUUUUAUGCCAAAUUCAUCAUCCACAUUGUCUCUACGUCUGUUAGUAUUAUUCUAUCUUCAUGGUUCUAUUAUUAUAAUCAUUAUUAUUUUUAAUAACAAGGUCUCUCAGCUGUGGUCCAGUGUGGCCAGCCACUCAUGAGUAUCCUUUGGUCUCAGUUUCCUAAGUAUUGAGGUUACUUCUUUUUGUCUUGACAAGUUAGAUUUUCUUCCAUUUUUGCAUGUCUUAUAAUCUUAGCCUUCAUGAGAUAUUUUUAAUAAAAUAAUAAAUGAGUAGGACAGAUAAGAUGGUUCACAGGUAAAGGCACUUGCUACUGAGCCUGAAGUACUGUGUGUUAUUACACUGUAACAGAAUAAUUGUGUGUCGGGGAUUAAUCCUCGGACUAGGGAAUGAUUCAUGGUUUAGGCUACAAGAGUCAAGCUGUGUGAACACGACCUAUAGCUGAGUUGCAUUUUGUUGUAGCUUCAGUUUACUGGUUUGCUUGUUUAUGGAUUUUGGUUCAUGAACACAAGAUAUACAAAUUGGGGGUCCACUUAACUUGUUUAUGUUUUCCCAGUCUACAACAAACCAUAAAAUAUUGAGUAACAUGAUAGCUAGUCUUCCUACUGCCAUCUGGUCCUCCUUCCCUCACCAUUCUGCCAGGGACGGGCAUGGCCAUGGGUGUCUUCCUUUGGCAGUCUACAUAUUAGUUCACUUGCAUCUCUUUAAAUUCCAGUACUAAUUUAAAUUAGUUUUUAUGAACUUAUUCUGAUGGUUUUGAUUGUUAAGGUAGAAGAGAUAGUUCUUGAAACUUCUAUGACUUAGUGCUAUUAGGUAGACACUAUUGUUAUCUUUAAAAAUAUAGUAAUCACCAUUCUUACUUGAUAUGUCCUGCCUUUUGAGUCAUUUGCCCUUAAACAUAGAAAGGUAAUUUCCAUUUAACAGUACUGCAUAUAUUGAUGUUUUAACAUCUAAGGUUAUAUAUAAUCCUUAAUAAACUAUUGCUUGCUACAUAUCAAAUACCUAAACUUUCAUCCAGCUAGUUACUCCAGUGCUAUAGAACAACUAGACUAAAAUUUGAUUGCUAUUUCUUUUGUAAAUGAUCAUCCAUUCUAUACUAGACUUUGUCCUUAAACUAUGAGACCUUCAAAAGGAUUAGAUGCAGGAAUUAUUGAUAAAUCUUAAGUCUGUCAGAUGUUCAAUCACACAGUAAGAGAGAUAACUCUGAAAACUGUAUAAAAAGAUAGACAUUUCUGGUAUGUUUCUUCUAUCAUGUGCCAGCCACAUUCAUUUUUCAGUUUGUGCAGUAUUUUGUGACAUUAUUUAUACUCGAAAAGUUCUCUAUUCAUAUAUUUUUAAAUGACAUAAAAUCUCAAUACUGUAUAGCACUAGUGACCCAAGAUAGAGGAUUUACUUUUAAAUCAUCUAGUAAUAAAUCAUAAAUUUAUCUCAAACUCAGAAUAUGUCAGUAAGAGCCAAUAAUAUAAUGGCAGGCCUGUGAGGAAUGAGAGGGAAUUCUAAUUUACAUAUAACUAAAACAGGAUAGGCUGCUAAUCCACCAUCAUACAAUCAGCCUUGAAAGACUUUUAGUUAAAGAACAAGCAGACAAUAGCAGGUUCAAGUACUAAAUAGUAUAUUAAUAAAGACAAAAGUAAUAAACGUGCAACAGAGAUCAGAGACUACAUUUGCAUCUUAGGCACAUUUCCAAAGAAACUGGGCCUUUGUAAGAAAGCAAAAGCAAAUUUUUAACAGCAUGUUCUCUUACAAUACUAUAAUUCUGCAACUAAGAUGUGAAACAGAAAGGAGGUAACAAAAGAUGCUCCCAUAAGAAGAAAAUGUUUAACAAAAGACAGUGGAUCAACUGGGCAGACAGUAAAAGCAUGAACCACAGUCAGUCUUACUCUGCAAGUAAAAAUGUAAUCCUAGGUAGAUUUAGACUCAAAUGUUAAAACCUAAAGCCAGCUCUUUCUAAGGGGGAAAAAAUAUUGAAAAAAUAUCUGGGCAAGGCAGCAAUUUCUUGGGCAAAGUAUAGAGGACACUAAUCAUUAGAAAGCUCCAUUUGAAAAUAAGUAGGCAAGCUAUGUAGAGCUAAAUAUAUCUUCAGUGAUACCUCACAAAAGACUUGUACCCAAAAAUAGAUAAACGUCUAUACAUCCACAAUAAAGAGCUUCAGUAACUGUGCUAGUUUUAUGUCAACUUGACCCAAGCUAGAGUCGUCUGAAAGGAGGGAACCUCUACUGAGAAAGUGUCUCUAUAAGAUCUGACUGGCGAGAAGGCAUUUUCUUAAUUGAUUUGAUGGGGAGUGCCCAGCCAUUUGGGGGACCCAACCCUCGGAUGGUGGUCCUGGAUUCUAUGAGAAAGCAGGCUGAGCAAGCCAGGGGAAGCAAGCUAAUAAGCAGCUACCUUCUGUGGCCUCUUUAUCAGCUCCUGUCUCCAGGUCCCUGCCCUGUUUGAUUUCCUCUCCUAACUCUCUUCAAGGAUAGACUAUGAUAUGGAAGUGUAAGCCAAAUAAACCCUUCCCUUCCCAACUUCCUAUUGGUCAUGGUGUUUCAUAACAGCAACAGUCACCCUAACUAGGACACUAAUGCUCUUUUUUUUUUAACUCACAGAGGACUUAAACAGAUAUUUUUCUAAAGGGGAUACACAUGAAAAGAUAUUUAAGAGUUGACUGUACAAAACUACAGAACCAGUAAACAAAGGAAUUUGGAGAUAUCUCAAAAUACAUAUCCCACUGAGUUGGAUGGCUAGAGGAUAUUAAUAUAUAUUAUUAAAGGCAAUACUUAAUGGGCAAGAGCAAUGGGGAAACUGUAACUCAUAAAGUGAUGUUAUAAGAACUUUGGUGAAGCCAUUAAAUAUGCAGGUAACAAAUCACAUAAAAUAAAUUUUGCCCAAGAAACAUGAAAAUAUCCACAGAAUAUUCAUAAUAAUCCAAAUCUGGAAGUGAUCUUAUUCUGUUAAUAGGAAAAUAACUGAGUGAAUGGUGAGAUAUUUUUAUUAUUUAAUACUACAUUGC
rnacentral:lncRNA from 1 species